rnacentral:rRNA from 1 species
AGAGUUUGAUCAUGGCUCAGGACGAACGCUGGCGGCGUGCUUAACACAUGCAAGUCGAACGGGGAGUGCAGCAAUGUGCUCCAAGUGGCGAACGGGUGAGUAACGCGUAGACAACCUACCUUCUAGAUGGGGACAACACCGCGAAAGUGGUGCUAAUACCGAAUGUAGUAUGAAAGGCGCCUGCCAUUCAUACUAAAGGUGGCCUCUACAUGUAAGCUACCGCUAGAAGACGGGUCUGCGUCUGAUUAGCUAGUAGGCGGGGUAACGGCCCACCUAGGCGACGAUCAGUAGCCGGUCUGAGAGGAUGAACGGCCACACUGGGACUGAGACACGGCCCAGACUCCUACGGGAGGCAGCAGUGGGGAAUCUUCCGCAAUGGACGAAAGUCUGACGGAGCAACGCCGCGUGAGUGAGGAAGGCCUUCGGGUUGUAAAACUCUGUUGUCAGGGAAGAACACCCCUCAUGUGAAAAAUGUGAAGGGAUGACGGUACCUGACGAGGAAGCCACGGCUAACUACGUGCCAGCAGCCGCGGUAAUACGUAGGUGGCGAGCGUUGUCCGGAAUUAUUGGGCGUAAAGCGCGCGCAGGCGGGAUAUUAAGUCUCAUUUAAAAGUGCGGGGCUCAACCCCGUGAGGGGUGAGAAACUAAUAUUCUUGAGUGCCGGAGAGGAAAGCGGAAUUCCCAGUGUAGCGGUGAAAUGCGUAGAUAUUGGGAGGAACACCAGUGGCGAAGGCGGCUUUCUGGACGGUGUCUGACGCUGAGGCGCGAAAGCCAGGGGAGCGAACGGGAUUAGAUACCCCGGUAGUCCUGGCGGUAAACGAUGGGUACUAGGUGUAGGGGGUAUCGACCCCCCCCUGUGCCGGAGUUAACGCAAUAAGUACCCCGCCUGGGGAGUACGGCCGCAAAGUUGAAACUCAAAUGAAU